GUUUGAUCCUGGCUCAGAACGAACGCUGGCGGCGUGGAUCAGGCAUGCAAGUCGAGCGAGAAAGCAACUUCGGUUGUGAGUAAAGCGGCAAAAGGGGUAGUAAUGGAUAGAUAACGUACCCAUCGAUCUGGAACAACUCCGGGAAACUGGAGCUAAUGCUGGAUACGUUACAAGAUGCAAAGUGUCUUGUAAGAAAGCGAGGGACCUUCGGGCCUCGUAUCGAUGGAGCGGUCUAUCUCGUAUUAGUUAGUUGGUGAGGUAAUGGCUCACCAAGACAGAGAUGCGUAGGGGACCUUAGCGGGUGACCCCCACCACCGGAACUGAGACACUGUCCGGACACCCACGGGUGGCUGCAGUCGAGAAUCUUCCGCAAUGGACGAAAGUCUGACGGAGCGACGCCGCGUGAGGGAUGAAGGCCUUAGGUUAAACCUCUGUCAAAUGUUAGGAAUAAAGCAAGUCGAACAGGCUUGUGGAUGACAAAGGCAUUAGAGGAAGCCACGGCUAAACACGUGCCAGCAGCCGCGGUAAUACGUGUGUGGCGAGCGUUGUUCGGAAUUACUGGGCAUAAAGCGUUUGUAGGCGGAUACAUCAGUUGGGUGUGAAAUCCCGGAGCUCACCUCCGGAACUGCAUCCAAAACUGUGUAUCUGGAGUCCUUGAGGGGAAAGCGGAAUUCCAGGUGUAGCGGUGAAAUGCGUAGAUAUCUGGGAGAAGGCCAAUGGCGAAGGCAGCUUUCUGGCGAGUGACUGACGCUGAGAAACGAAAGCUAGGGUAGCGAACGGGAUUAGAUACCCCGGUAGUCCUAGCCGUAAACGGUGAGCACUUGGUGAUGGUCGGGCUGACCAAUCAUUGCCGAAGCUAAUGCGAUAAGUGCUCCGCCUGGGUAGUACGAUCGCAAGGUUGAAACUCAAAGGAAUUGACGGGGGCUCACACAAGCGGUGGAGCAUGUUGCUUAAUUCGAAUCAACGCGAAGAACCUUACCUGGGCUUGAACUGCAGGAAUUAUCUCUAUGAAAGUAGAGUACGCCCUCUGGGUGGAACCUGUAGAGGUGUUGCAUGGCUGUCGUCAGCUCGUGCUGUGAAGUGUUAGGUUAAGUCCUUUAACGAGCGAAACCCUUGCCAUUAUUUACCAGCGGGUCGUGCCGGGAACUAUAAUGGGACUGCCGGUGUUAAACCGGAGGAAGGUGGGGACGACGUCAAGUCAUCAUGGCCCUUAUGUCCAGGGCUGCAAACGUGCUACAAUGGUCAUUACAGAGUGUAGCGAAGUCGCGAGACGGAGCCAAUCACCAAAGAUGGCCUCAGUUCGGAUUGCAGGCUGCAACUCGCCUGCAUGAAGUCGGAAUCGCUAGUAAUCGCGGGUCAGCAAUACCGCGGUGAAUACGUUCCUGAGCCUUGUACACACCGCCCGUCAAGCCACGAAAGCUGGGGGCGCCCGAAGCUGCUGUUGCGAACCCUUUUGGGAAGCAGGCAUCCACGGUGAAACUAGUGAUUGGGACUAAGUCGAAACAAGGUA
rnacentral:rRNA from 1 species